AUUGAAAAAUAUUCAUUUACAAUUAAAUGAACUAUCGAGUCGAAUAUGACUGAAUAUCUGGAAUAAUAAUAAUCGAACAAUUUAUUAAUUAUUUGGUUCAUUUCCUAAAGCAGAGAAAUUUGAAGCAUAUUCAAGUUAAAUUGAAACAACAGAGAUAAUACAACAAUGUAAACUUGACUAGUCUAGUAGAAGUACCAAGAAUAAUGAUGCGUAUCACGUAGUGACAUGCAAAUAUCCUAUGGAUAGCGCAGAUUGACUAGAUCUCUUGAAAUAGUGGAAUCGUAAAAGAAAGUAAAUAUAAAUGCAAGAUAUAAUUAAGUUUAAUAAUGUGAUAAGUGUGCAAUCUCAGCCGAAAGAUGGUGAUUUAUUUGCUACUGAUCAUUAUUUGACAUAUAUGUUAAUGGGUUGUCAAUGUAUUUUAACACUUUUACUAUUUAAAUGUUUAUGUUUAGGCGAUAGAAUUUAUUAAGUAUGUUUAGAUUUAAUUUGUGAUAUUAUAUUACACUUCACAUGUAUGCACACCAUCCGAUAUGGCAAUCCGAUAUUUUUUUUCAUGUCCCUCAACAUAUCACCGAUUUCCACUAUGCGACAUAAAAAUUUUAGCCGUCUGACAUGAACCUGACAUUUGACAUAUAAAACCUUGCUUCUACUUUUGCUAUUAGAUAUUAUUGAACUCCAAAGUCUAUGUUUUCAUUUCUAAAUAUGUGCAUUUAUACACAAGUAUACAUCAACAUUUCUCCAUAUUUCUAUAAUCUGGUCUCCUUCAUGAACACUUCGAUCUCUCUUCACUCUAAUAUAUAUAAUUUGACGUAGUCCUCUACUCCCUUUUGCAUCAUAUCAAACUUAUAUGUACCAAAUUCUCCUUCAUUUAUAUCUAUCUUCUAAUUUAGGUUCUCAUAAACUAUGGAUGCGGGCUCAAGAUUCAUCUUAUAGCCCAGUAAUGCAACAUGUAAGUGGGCUAUGGACCUUUGCUAAGUGCCACAUAAAUUUAACCUAGAGGUAUCUUAGUAUCUUUGGACCUUUAAUAAAUGAUAAAUUUGCUCUGGAGGCCUGUAGGCACGGAAUGCCCUUCCUUGAUUUAGUCAAGCUUGGGGCCCGUUGGGCUGGUCUUGCAGUGAAGAGUAACUCAUACUUGUUAAAAACUGAGAAGCAAGAGAGUAACAAAGCCGAAGAUGGCAGUAGAAGAAUUGAUUGAAUCUCCACACAAAUACUUUGAUCAGAUCAUGAACCGCAAAUGUGAUCUCUCUUUCAUCUCUUCCUCUUACUUGCAUCGAAUUUUCUGGAAUUUAAAUUCUCUUAUAUUCUUCGAUCCCUCUUUCUGGAAAAGAAACAUUUUAAAUUCAGGAUUGCAUCCAAUACAUGAACGAUUUGAAGGGCAUCGGUAUUGUCUCAUAGGAAUUUUGGAUUAUACACUCAACACCCACUGAGCCACAUGUAGCAGUGAUCCAUGCAAAGCUCUGUUAUCAUCAAGCUUUUAGUGGAGUAGUCAACUUAUGAGGCAGUAUGAACCUGAAGGAGCCAGAUGGUAACAAAUCUAUCUUGCACACGGAAUAUUCACAAGUCAUGCAACUUUAUCUUCCAUCUCCACUACGUUUGGUGUUUCUUAUCUAAGUAUUCUGAAUACUUUGCACACUCUGCUACACCUGCACCCAUUAGCAAAAAGGAUUCACUUUCUUGAUUUUGAUCUUCAUAAAGUUCAAGUGGUUUGACCAGAAGUAGAUAUUAUGGGAAAAUAUCUUACCAAAUGAAAGGAAAGGGUUCCAUCAACAUUGCACUAGGCAUAAUCGUUUGACGUGACAUGUUAUUAUGGAGAUGGGAGGUUGGAAUUGGCAUGGAAGAAAUAUUCUUGACUGACUAAGAUGAUUGAUUUUCCUCCACUAGCUAGUUUAGUGGUUUUCUCUUGUGGGCAUAGGAUUAAAAAUUUGAAAUAAUAUUUGUUUAUGGGUGAUGUGCACUUUUUUUUUGAAGGGUAUCAUCAAAGAGCGUUAGUCCUGAAUAUGCUAUUAUGAUGCCUCUGAAUAUUUUAGUGUGAUAUGCGUCUACUACUAUCUAUCUGUUGCUGGAGGGAGACAAAGGAUGCAUGUAAGGCAUUGAGAUAUAAAUGGGUGCUUGAUACCUGCCAAAGGCACCCAUUAAUUAGGAUGGUGGCAGACCACUUAAAGUCCUUAUCCAUUUGAAGGUGGGAGAUAGUGGCAGUAGGCAUUUGAUCCUGCACCUUUCCUUGCAUUGACCUGUACAACUCGCAUUUUCUCAUCUCUGGUAGUCAACGACUUAUUGACUUAUUGUCCUUGUCCUCAUUGGACACCUGUUGUUGCUCUUUGAGUUUGUUGCCAGUUUUAGCAAUGGCCUUUUUGCCUGUCAUGCCCUAGGGGAUAGGCUCGAGGCAGGACACUGUGACAGAGUUAGCUAUCGACGUAAUUGACAAUUCUGUAAAUACCAGUACGAGGUUGCAACGCCGGUUUACUAAGCAUAAGUAACUCACCUCGUUUCAGCUAGUGCAGUUUUUGUUCACCUUCUUUCUUUCGCUUAUAAUGAAAUCAUUGUUGUCUUACUAGCCUGGUCACAAGCAAGCGCCUGUACUUUAAGUAUACACCUCAUGAUUAUGUCACGCUGAAUAUUACAUUUUGACUUACUAGUU